AGUGUGUGUGUUAGUGGAAGCGUCUGGAAAGGCGCGCGAUACAGGGUGACAGCCCCGUACACAAAAAUGCACAUGCUGUGAGCUCGAUGAGUAGGGCGGGACACGUGGUAUCCUGUCUGAAUAUGGGGGGACCAUCCUCCAAGGCUAAAUACUCCUGACUGACCGAUAGUGAACCAGUACCGUGAGGGAAAGGCGAAAAGAACCCCGGCGAGGGGAGUGAAAAAGAACCUGAAACCGUGUACGUACAAGCAGUGGGAGCACGCUUAGGCGUGUGACUGCGUACCUUUUGUAUAAUGGGUCAGCGACUUAUAUUCUGUAGCAAGGUUAACCGAAUAGGGGAGCCGAAGGGAAACCGAGUCUUAACUGGGCGUUAAGUUGCAGGGUAUAGACCCGAAACCCGGUGAUCUAGCCAUGGGCAGGUUGAAGGUUGGGUAACACUAACUGGAGGACCGAACCGACUAAUGUUGAAAAAUUAGCGGAUGACUUGUGGCUGGGGGUGAAAGGCCAAUCAAACCGGGAGAUAGCUGGUUCUCCCCGAAAGCUAUUUAGGUAGCGCCUCGUGAAUUCAUCUCCGGGGGUAGAGCACUGUUUCGGCAAGGGGGUCAUCCCGACUUACCAACCCGAUGCAAACUGCGAAUACCGGAGAAUGUUAUCACGGGAGACACACGGCGGGUGCUAACGUCCGUCGUGAAGAGGGAAACAACCCAGACCGCCAGCUAAGGUCCCAAAGUCAUGGUUAAGUGGGAAACGAUGUGGGAAGGCCCAGACAGCCAGGAUGUUGGCUUAGAAGCAGCCAUCAUUUAAAGAAAGCGUAAUAGCUCACUGGUCGAGUCGGCCUGCGCGGAAGAUGUAACGGGGCUAAACCAUGCACCGAAGCUGCGGCAGCGACACUAUGUGUUGUUGGGUAGGGGAGCGUUCUGUAAGCCUGUGAAGGUGUGCUGUGAGGCAUGCUGGAGGUAUCAGAAGUGCGAAUGCUGACAUAAGUAACGAUAAAGCGGGUGAAAAGCCCGCUCGCCGGAAGACCAAGGGUUCCUGUCCAACGUUAAUCGGGGCAGGGUGAGUCGACCCCUAAGGCGAGGCCGAAAGGCGUAGUCGAUGGGAAACAGGUUAAUAUUCCUGUACUUGGUGUUACUGCGAAGGGGGGACGGAGAAGGCUAUGUUGGCCGGGCGACGGUUGUCCCGGUUUAAGCGUGUAGGCUGGUUUUCCAGGCAAAUCCGGAAAAUCAAGGCUGAGGCGUGAUGACGAGGCACUACGGUGCUGAAGCAACAAAUGCCCUGCUUCCAGGAAAAGCCUCUAAGCAUCAGGUAACAUCAAAUCGUACCCCAAACCGACACAGGUGGUCAGGUAGAGAAUACCAAGGCGCUUGAGAGAACUCGGGUGAAGGAACUAGGCAAAAUGGUGCCGUAACUUCGGGAGAAGGCACGCUGAUAUGUAGGUGAAGUCCCUCGCGGAUGGAGCUGAAAUCAGUCGAAGAUACCAGCUGGCUGCAACUGUUUAUUAAAAACACAGCACUGUGCAAACACGAAAGUGGACGUAUACGGUGUGACGC
rnacentral:rRNA from 1 species